rnacentral:antisense_RNA from 1 species
CUCGUACAUCUGUUUUCUUGAGAAAAUUUCUCAAGAGACAGGCCCUAAACCCUUGUUGAUGAACCGUGACCGUGCGGCUUGAGCGUGAUUGACGGCUACGAUUGUCCUUGGAUGCAUCCGGUGCUGUAGAGGAUGGUUACUCGGCUCGGUUCUCCCUUGCCGGGGUGGUCGCACGGCGGUCUGACAGUGUCAUAAAUCUAAUAGGCCAGACAUAUGGACAAGCUGAAAAAAGGUCAUAAAAGGACUGCUUCUGAAUCCUGAAUCAACGGUAUUCAAAAGACUUACCUCUUUAAGUAUAUCUGUGAAGAGAUAUAAACAUUUUGGCUUCAGCAAUCAUCAACUACUACCCCCUAUCAUUGUUUGUUGUUGCUUGAGUCUCUGAUUCCACAGGUGCAGCGACUGAGGAGUUGAUCCGGUUUGAUUUUCCGGAAGCUCUCUCAUCAGAUUUACUACCCCAGCAAUGCUUUGCGAGAUGUCCUUUCCUCCCACAGUUGUCACAGACGAUGAUGACUCUCUCGUCUCUCUCAGGUUCUUUCCUCUU